rnacentral:rRNA from 1 species
UACGUAGGGAGCAAGCGUUGUCCGAAUUUACUGGGCGUAAAGCGCGCGUAGGCGGGCUCUUAAGUUGGGGGUGAAAUUCCGAGGCUCAACCUCGGAACUGCCUCCAAAACUGGGAGCCUUGAGGUUUGGAGAGGGAAGUGGAAUUCCUGGUGUAGCGGUGAAAUGCGUAGAUAUCAGGAGGAACACCUGUGGCGAAGGCGGCUUCCUGGCCAUAUCCUGACGCUGAGGUGCGAAAGCUAGGGGAGCGAACGGG